CACAGAUAGCUUGGUUAACCCAUUCCCCCUGUACAACACAGAUAGCUAGGUUAACCCAUUCCCCCUAUACAACACAGAUAGCUAGGUUAACCCAUUCCCCCUAUACAACACAGAUAGCUAGGUUAACCCAUUCCCCCUAUACAACACAGAUAGCUAGGUUAACCCAUUCCCCCUAUACAACACAGAUAGCUAGGUUAACCCAUUCCCCCUAUACAACACAGAUAGCUAGGUUAACCCAUUCCCCCUAUACAACACAGAUAGCUAGGUUAACCCAUUCCCUGUAUACAACACAGAUAGCUAGGUUAACCCAUUCCCCCUAUACAACACAGAUAGCUAGGUUAACCCAUUCCCCGUAUACAACACAGAUAGCUAGGUUAACCCAUUCCCCCUAUACAACACAGAUAGCUAGGUUAACCCAUUCCCCCUAUACAACACAGAUAGCUAGGUUAACCCAUUCCCCCUAUACAACACAGAUAGCUAGGUUAACCCAUUCCUAGUUGAGUGGAGGAUUCAAAUGAAGCUUAGACAAAGCGUUUCACUGUAACCUGGAGAGAUGUCAAUACAGUUAAAAG
ensembl:lncRNA